GUGUCAGCAGCCGCGGUAAUACGGAGGGGGCAAGCGUUAUUCGGAAUUACUGGGCGUAAAGCGCGCGCAGGUGGCGCGAUAAGUGGCAGGUGAAAGCCCUCGGCUCAACCGAGGAAUUGCCUGCCAGACUGUCGCGCUUGAGGCUGGGAGGGGAAAGCGGAAUUCCUGGUGUAGCGGUGAAAUGCGUAGAUACCAGGAGGAACACCGGUGGCGAAGGCGGCUUUCUGGACCAGUUCUGACACUCAUGCGCGAAAGCGUGGGGAGCAAACAGGAUUAGAUACCCUGGUAGUCCACGCCCUAAACGAUGGGCACUAGGCGUCGCGGGUGUCGACCCCUGCGGUGCCGUAGCUAACGCGUUAAGUGCCCCGCCUGGGGAGUACGGUCGCAAGGCUGAA
rnacentral:rRNA from 1 species